rnacentral:lncRNA from 10 species
CUCCUCCUCACUGCUUGAGCUCCAGGGCCCAGACGUGCUGCGGCCAGCCCGUCCGGCCUUUGGUUUUCUUGUCGUUGCUGCUCACUGUGCUUUUCAAGAUUUCGUUCUGGACAGAGGAAAGGCGAGGGCGAGAAAAGUGGAAAGAGAAAUUCAGAGAGGAUACCUGGUUCCACACCAACCCGGAGCUUCCUGCGCCGGAGGAGACAGUGAACCAGAGAGGAAAGGAUACGAUGGGGGAGUCCCAGCCCCUGCAGAGAAGCUACCAAGGUUAGCGCUACCCUAGCCGGCGGGGAGGCCUCGGCGCUGCAGCGCUCAACAACCGGAUCCACAAGUUUAUAAACAACCGCCCGUUUUCGAGUCGUUUAUGGAGGAGCGGGGGGCCUUUUCUCUUACUCCAGAUGUAGGGGCGGGAGCUGGAGUCGGCGCUAAGUCUGGUUUCUCUGUUUUCAUUAGCAAUCCUAGAUCCACAUCUAGGAAAAAUAGGGCGAAGGAGCCUCUGUUUCGGCCUGGGCCUCUCGGCCAGAGGCUCUCGGCCUCCAGCUCAGCAGUGCCUCUCCUCCAAGGCUUCUGAAAUCUCUGGUUAUUCGGGAGGUCACUCGAUUAUGCAGCCACCAAAGGGCUGCAGGGGCCAAAGAAGAAAAAUUCGACAAAUGCAAUUAUUUUCCGGGCCCUUCGUGGACAUAGCUCUAUCCUGCACCACUGCCCUGUGGGCACUUGGUAGGAAUCUGAGAAAAUUUUAAGCGGCUCAAUUUACUUUCGUGUUAUUUUUAAUAACAAUGACCAUAGUAAUGCCUUUUCCCCCUUAAAAUGUACAGGCUUAUUCAAAUAAAAUUAGAAAUGCCAAUGGAAUAUACUCAUCUGGGAAAUUACAUUUUAACGUCAUAGCCAAGGAAAAAUUGGAGCUGU